rfam:Schistosoma rodhaini strain Burundi genome assembly, scaffold: SROB_scaffold0000909
AUCCAUUUAACAAGUCCCAAAUAGGACGAAACUCGAGUCCUGUAU